CAGUAAGUAGUUUAAUUAAAAUUUUAAUUUUGGGGAUUAAAGAUGAGUUAUUACUUUUUACUGA
rnacentral:tRNA from 1 species